rnacentral:tRNA from 1 species
AAAACCCUUAAAGUUUUUAAAGCUGGAGGGGACUAGCCCCUUUAUUGCCC